CAGACAUGAACAAUUGUCUUUGCUAAACAGUGUCAACAAAAAUACAAUUGAUAUUUCUCUAAGACAGCAUAUGAAAACUGGUUACUGGUCUCUUAAUACUGAACACUGAAGUCUGCAUGAUUUUCAAUGCGUUACAGCUAGAAGAUAGACAAGAUCUGCACUAUACAAGGCCUACAGCGGUGAGCUGCCAGACCAAUCAACCCUGAACCCUAAAGCUGCCUAUGCUGAUUUCAAUCCAGACUCCCUUCCCCUUAUCUGCACAAUGAAUGUCUCACCUGACAAGCCACUUGUGGACUCCAUCUACCAUCCAAGCCGGUAGUAUCCUAUCGUAUCAGCAUCCACCACCUACACCCGAUGGGGUUAUCACCCAUAAGGACGCACCCCCAUUUCCAAAAGUGCCACUAGAGGGCUACCAGUUAAAGCCAACAGAUUGUACACAUGUGCCAACAAACCAGGAACAGCUGCAUCUCAAUUCACUGUCUGUGACUUUGUCACAGUCACACCUCAUAGAAGAAGCAACAAGAAUCCAAAGUGCAGUACCUGAAUGGCAUUCACUGAGGAAGGAGAGGGUGACUGCUUCAAAUUUCAGGGAAGUUAGCCACGUUAGAGGUCCAAAUGCUGCAGAAAACCUAGCUGAGAGGAUCAUCCGAGGGAUGCGACAAACAGCACACAUGAAGAGGGGACUGGAUAUGGAGGCAGGUGCCUUAAACGACUAUGCAACUCUGAAAAACCUAAACUUGAGGAAAUGUGGACUGGUGAUUCAUCCAGAUGCACCUUGGCUGGGUGCGUCACCUGAUGGGCUGGUAUAUGACCCGCUUGAGAGACCAUCAUUUGGCUUGGUUGAACUAAAAUGCCCAAAUGCACCAAGCUACAUUGACUGCAGGUACCUCAAAGCUGACCACGGCAUAUAUAAAUUGAAGGAAAGCCAUCCAUAUUAUUCGCAAGUGCAGGGGCAGUUGCUUAUCACGGGUAUGGAAUGGUGUGACUUUGUUGUCUGUGCCCAUGAUGAUAUGUUUGUGCAGCGCAUUUACAGAGACACUUUUGUGUUCAGUUCCCUGAAACAGGGGUGUGAUUUGUUUUUCUUCUAUACAUACCUGCCAAAAUACCUCUCUAUGCACAAGUAAAAGAGGAGGCACAGUGCUGAGGAAAUGAAGACAUGAAUUAUACAUGAUUUUACAAAUGUGGUGUUUUAUUUUGUCAGAUCUGUUUAAAGUAUUUGUUUCAAAGUUCUAUAGUUGUUGACAAUUUCAUUUCAAAUUAUGUACAGUAUUUACAGUGAAAUGGCAUCUGAUGCACAGAAGCCAAUGGCACAUGCUGCUGGGCAUGUGCCACCAUCGUGUAACACUGACACUGAGUCACAGAACAUGUUGCAGUAUGUCAUGACGCUUCCAGUAGCGACUGACAGAUGACUUGAGCAGCUAUACUAAAUUAGGCUAUUUAUUUAGGAUUUAAGUCACUAUUAUGACAGUAUAGAUGCUCAAGUCAUCUGCCUCCAAAAGGCCAUCAAGUGGGCGUGAGUCGCAAACCUGUGGGACAUAUUUCCUUUGAUAUGUUAAAUGUCCAAAGAACAGGGGUCCUUAAUUCUGGACCUCGAGAUCCACUUUUCUGCAGUUUUGCUCAACCCCAAUCAAACACACCAGAACAAGCUAAUCAAGACCUUCAUGACUACUACAACGUUACAGGUAGGUGUGUUUAAUCCAGGUUAAAGCUAAACUUUGCAGGAAAGUGUAUCUUGAGGUUGAUGACUUUAAUUGACUUAGUUGACUUUAAUUUCUAGCUAUUCUUAACAGCCUGGGUAAUUUUAUAUUAACCUGAUAAACACUUAACACAUUGUCUGCUUACCUUGUGUAAAACCAAAUGUCAUCAUCGGAGGCCGCAAACCGCUCCAAACAGAACUUGCUGUUGAGGGUUAUCUCCUCUAUUUGUUUUCGGAGCUUUGUUAUUUCCACAUGUAGAUCUUCAGUGUGCUCCAGGGACAAAUCCAAGGCAGCAGGCUCAGCAGUGGAGCAGUAGUCAUGGUCGUAAGAUUCCGCAUCCAUAGAGGGGGCAUCACCAGUGUGCAAUGUGUCUGUGUUUAAUCGCGUUAUCCUUUCCCAAACUCCGGUCCGUGGGGCUGGAAGAGUGAAGUUAUUCCACUGAAAAAGCACCGGGACAGCGCCAUUCUUCAGACGUCUGCGUCCUGCUGGAGUUUGAGGCUCAAUGAGGUCUGCACUUUGGAAAUGUCGGCUGCACACUCUUGUCUGGCUUGUAACUGUAAAACUGUCGCGUUGUAUGUUAACUAUCCACCUCUUCUGUGUUUCCUUAUCUUUGGGAAAUGUGUGAAAACUGAGAAACCUGUUAAAUGUAGCAGAUGCAGUACACUGCGGCACACAGCAGUGGUAGCUAGAAGUGCUGUCCUCCCGUCUUUGAAAAGAUACUUUUAUACGUUUAGAUGUCAUUAUGAUAUAAAAUAAUAUAUAUAAAAUAAACAAAUGUAUAUAUCUAUAUAAAAUGAAGCAUCAACAAAAUAAGCUCUAGCUGUUUUGGUGACUAGCGUUCCUUUAAUGGCAUAGCACUCUACGAUCGGCGGAAGUAUUCGAGCAUUCUAAGAUUUCACCGGAAGUACGUCACGCGCCGCCGUGCAUAGAGCCCAUUGAGAAUGACUGACAGCCGCAGCGGAGGGAGGCAUUUACGUCAACUUUAAUUUAACGACUUAAAUAUUUAUCUGUACCUCAAAUUAAACUAUGGAAUGGCUUCAGAACACUUGGAAUAUAGUGCACAGAAACUUUCUGAUGCUUUUUAAUGUUUUUGUGCCUUUUGUGGAGCCUAACAAUAACACAGACUAUGUAUUACAGCCAUAUACUGAUACGCACAGUAUCGAAUUUGGAUCGGUCCCGUCCGGCCGAUACCCGAUCUGGCAAAAAUGGCAGUAUCGGAGCCGAUACCCGAUCUGAAUAUCGGAUCGGUGCAUCCCUAAUUGUAUGUCAUAGUCAUAACAGUUUUCAGAUGAGUUAUUUUAAAAAAAUGCUUUUGUGUGUGUAUUAAAGUUUUAAGUGGUUUAAAGUGUUUUAUAUUUUUAUACAUGUCUAUAAAUUAAAGCCGUUUUAUGAAAAACAACUUUUUAAUUAAAUCAAUUAUGUGGAUACAUUUCUUGUGAAGUAAAAAUGUAUGUUAAAAAUGAACUUUACUGUCAGGAAGUGGAAAAAGGGCAGACUCUGACUUUAUUUAUUUAUUUUUUACUUAAUUUAUUUAUUAAUUAAUUUAUUUAUCCAUGUAGAUGAUUUAUUUAUUGAAAGUGAAAGAUUUUAUGUUUAAAGUGUUGGUCUCAGCAUUGAAGGAAGGUAGACAGAGGGUCUUGUGUCCUCUGUUGAAGCUGUAUUCUAUACUAUAACAUAUGGUAACAAUUCAACAUCCGUGCCGCGAGAAAAAGUGGUGGGGACAAAAUCGACCCUGGCAAAAAGUGGUGGGGACAUGAUCCCACCCGUCCCACCCGCAAAUUACGCCUAUGGUGCCCCCAGUUUUCUUAAACGUACUUGAAUUAUUUAAACCAUUAAUAGAUAAUUAAUUGGCGGAGCAUUGCACUGCCUGUGCACAGCUAAUCAUAAGGUGUGUGCUCGACUUGAUCAGUUUCUGACUUAAGCAGUGUGUGCCAUCAAAGUACUGUGAAAGCGUUUCACGAACAGUCGCAGUUUCUCUAGGGCUGCACGAGCUCUGACGACGACCACAGUUAAUCCGUGCGUUUCAUGUUUAUUCUGACACGUUCAGUUCCACUAAUGCUCACAAAACCUGCUUUUACUAAAAACUCUAUUCAUUUAACAUUAAUGCCAUAGCAUAUUGUCAAGCCAUUUAAUAAAACUGAUACAUGAAAGUGGGCAAAAGAGGCACAUUAUUAUCACUUUUCCAACAUUAUUCUUAAAGUAAUGUAAAUUAUGUUUUCAACAAUAGCUGUAGCUCGAUGAGCGUGAGACUCCUGGCCUGCGGUUGUGUCCCAGACGGAAUUAAAUAAUUUGUGAAUCUUUGUAAAUAUUCGUGGCUUAAACAGCGGGAAAAUUUACUGUGAUGCAGUUCUGUGGAUGUUUUGCCCAGGCAGGGUUAUUAUAGUUAAUUAAAUAGCGCACAUUUAUGCCAAGCAAUUGCUAAUUGAGUUGAUGAAUUAUGAUUGUCUACUUUAUGGUCUUUAAUAAAAUACGUUUUAGACCAGUGGUCUCAAACUCAA